rnacentral:rRNA from 1 species
GAUGAACGCUGGCGGCGUGCCUAAUACAUGCAAGUCGAGCGAACGGACGAGAAGCUUGCUUCUCUGAUGUUAGCGGCGGACGGGUGAGUAACACGUGGAUAACCUACCUAUAAGACUGGGAUAACUUCGGGAAACCGGAGCUAAUACCGGAUAAUAUUUUGAACCGCAUGGUUCAAAAGUGAAAGACGGUCUUGCUGUCACUUAUAGAUGGAUCCGCGCUGCAUUAGCUAGUUGGUAAGGUAACGGCUUACCAAGGCAACGAUGCAUAGCCGACCUGAGAGGGUGAUCGGCCACACUGGAACUGAGACACGGUCCAGACUCCUACGGGAGGCAGCAGUAGGGAAUCUUCCGCAAUGGGCGAAAGCCUGACGGAGCAACGCCGCGUGAGUGAUGAAGGUCUUCGGAUCGUAAAACUCUGUUAUUAGGGAAGAACAUAUGUGUAAGUAACUGUGCACAUCUUGACGGUACCUAAUCAGAAAGCCACGGCUAACUACGUGCCAGCAGCCGCGGUAAUACGUAGGUGGCAAGCGUUAUCCGGAAUUAUUGGGCGUAAAGCGCGCGUAGGCGGUUUUUUAGUCUGAUGUGAAAGCCCACGGCUCAACCGUGGAGGGUCAUUGGAAACUGGAAAACUUGAGUGCAGAAGAGGAAAGUGGAAUUCCAUGUGUAGCGGUGAAAUGCGCAGAGAUAUGGAGGAACACCAGUGGCGAAGGCGACUUUCUGGUCUGUAACUGACGCUGAUGUGCGAAAGCGUGGGGAUCAAACAGGAUUAGAUACCCUGGUAGUCCACGCCGUAAACGAUGAGUACUAAGUGUUAGGGGGUUUCCGCCCCUUAGUGCUGCAGCUAACGCAUUAAGCACUCCGCCUGGGGAGUACGACCGCAAGGUUGAAACUCAAAGGAAUUGACGGGGACCCGCACAAGCGGUGGAGCAUGUGGUUUAAUUCGAAGCAACGCGAAGAACCUUACCAAAUCUUGACAUCCUUUGACAACUCUAGAGAUAGAGCCUUCCCCUUCGGGGGACAAAGUGACAGGUGGUGCAUGGUUGUCGUCAGCUCGUGUCGUGAGAUGUUGGGUUAAGUCCCGCAACGAGCGCAACCCUUAAGCUUAGUUGCCAUCAUUAAGUUGGGCACUCUAAGUUGACUGCCGGUGACAAACCGGAGGAAGGUGGGGAUGACGUCAAAUCAUCAUGCCCCUUAUGAUUUGGGCUACACACGUGCUACAAUGGACAAUACAAAGGGCAGCGAAACCGCGAGGUCAAGCAAAUCCCAUAAAGUUGUUCUCAGUUCGGAUUGUAGUCUGCAACUCGACUACAUGAAGCUGGAAUCGCUAGUAAUCGUAGAUCAGCAUGCUACGGUGAAUACGUUCCCGGGUCU